GACGAACGCUGGCGGCGUGCUUAACACAUGCAAGUCGAACGGAAAGGCCCUGCUUUUGUGGGGUGCUCGAGUGGCGAACGGGUGAGUAACACGUGAGUAACCUGCCCUUGACUUUGGGAUAACUUCAGGAAACUGGGGCUAAUACCGGAUAGGAGCUCCUGCUGCAUGGUGGGGGUUGGAAAGUUUCGGCGGUGGGGGCUGGACUCGCGGCUUAUCAGCUUGUUGGUGGGGUAGUGGCUUACCAAGGCUUUGACGGGUAGCCGGCCUGAGAGGGUGACCGGCCACAUUGGGACUGCGAUACGGCCCAGACUCCUACGGGAGGCAGCAGUGGGGAAUAUUGCACAAUGGGCGGAAGCCUGAUGCAGCAACGCCGCGUGCGGGAUGACGGCCUUCGGGUUGUAAACCGCUUUCGCCUGUGACGAAGCGUGAGUGACGGUAAUGGGUAAAGAAGCACCGGCUAACUACGUG
rnacentral:rRNA from 1 species